rnacentral:rRNA from 1 species
UCUGAUGGAGCAACGCCGCGUGAGUGAAGAAGGGUUUCGGCUCGUAAAACUCUGUUGUUAAAGAAGAACAUAUCUGAGAGUAACUGUUCAGGUAUUGACGGUAUUUAACCAGAAAGCCACGGCUAACUACGUG